AUUUAGCUCAGUGGUUUUGCCGCCUGCUGCACAAGCGCAAGGACCCGAGUUUGAUCCCGGGUACCAAAAAAAAAAAAAAAGACACAAAUAAAACAUCCAGAACCUCCUCCCAGGGUUUGGAGAAUUCCGUGGAACUCACAGCGAUCCUCCUGCCUCGGCUUCCCAGAUGCUGGGAUUACAGCUACAGAAACCAAACCGUUUACUUAGCCAAGAAUGUGAAGAAUGCCUCUGUCCCAAGUAUUUCCAGUUCUCACUGAAGCCACUGAGUACUCAGCACGGUUGCAAGCCACAGCCUUGUCCUGGUCCUCUCGACCUCCCUCCCAGGGCCACCUCUCCCUCUCCCGCCUGGAGAGCCCUUCCCAGGGGAGACAGAGGAGCAGAUCCAGAGACCAGAAGGCCCAGUGCCCUGACAUCAAGGCCGCAGGGCGAUGGAGGGCCCUCCCUGUCCCCAGAGGGAGUAAGCAAGGGAGAGACAGCAAGGGUUCACUUGAACUUCCUCUGCCCCCUAAGCCUGUUUCCCACCAGCAGCUGCUGCUCUCCCUCCUCUCCUACCUCCUCCUCCCCACCACUUAGGUCAGGCCCGCCUUGAACUCACUAUGUAGCCAGGCUUGCCUGGAACUCCCAGUGAUCCUCCUGCCUCGGCCUCCUGCAUGCUGGGAUCACAGGCUCGCUCCACCACACCUGGCUAACUUUCAGUGGAUUUAUUGGGAUGUGGCCCCAUUGUAAGUCCGGGAGCUCCUGACUCCCUUGGCAGUGGGGCAGAGAGACACAGAUGGCUAUUGGCAGGGUCACCAGCCAGCCUGCUUGUUUCCGGUCCUCCCUCUCACAACCCAUCUCCACAAGGAAGCAGAGGGAUCUGCUCAACAUUCCCAGGAGGAAAGACGGGGCGGGGCCUGGGCCACCAUGGAGGAGCCCCUCCCCUCUGGCCCCAGCCUCUUCGUGAGCCACCCCGAGUGUCCCGAGUAACUGUGCCAUCAUCAUGUGAUCACGUGGGUGUGCAUGGAGACCCCAGUAAACCUUUGGUCCUGCCUGG
ensembl:lncRNA